rnacentral:tRNA from 1 species
GGGGCUGUAGCUCAGCUGGGAGAGCGGCGGCUUUGCAAGCCGUAGGUCGCCGGUUCGAUUCCGGUCAGCUCCACCA